rnacentral:rRNA from 1 species
UACGGAGGAUGCAAGCGUUAUCCGGAAUGAUUGGGCGUAAAGAGCUCGUAGGCGGUUUGUCGCGUCGUCUGUGAAAACUCGCAGCUCAACUGUGGGCGUGCAGGCGAUACGGGCAGACUUGAGUACUGCAGGGGAGACUGGAAUUCCUGGUGUAGCGGUGAAAUGCGCAGAUAUCAGGAGGAACACCGGUGGCGAAGGCGGUUCUCUGGGCCUUACCUGACGCUGAGGAGCGAAAGCGUGGGGAGCGAACAGG